UUGACGGGACCGCACAAGCGGUGGAUGAUGUGGUUUAAUUCGAUGCAACGCGAAAACCUUACCCACCUUUGACAUGGCAGGAAUCCCGAAGAGAUUGGGAGUGCUCGAAAGAGAACCUGCACACAGGUGCUGCAUGGCUGUCGUCAGCUCGUGUCGUGAGAUGUUGGGUUAAGUCCCGCAACGAGCGCAACCCUUGCCAUUAGUUGCUACGAAAGGGCACUCUAAUGGGACUGCCGGUGACAAACCGGAGGAAGGUGGGGAUGACGUCAAGUCCUCAUGGCCCUUAUAGGUGGGGCUACACACGUCAUACAAUGGCCGGUACAGAGGGUAGCCAACCCGCGAGGGGGAGCCAAUCCCACAAAGCCGGUCGUAGUCCGGAUCGCAGUCUGCAACUCGACUGCGUGAAGUCGGAAUCGCUAGUAAUCGCGGAUCAGCAUGUCGCGGUGAAUACGUUCCCGGGUCUU
rnacentral:rRNA from 1 species